rnacentral:rRNA from 1 species
GAUGAACGCUGGCGGCGUGCCUAAUACAUGCAAGUCGAGCGAAUGGAUUAAGAGCUUGCUCUUAUGAAGUUAGCGGCGGACGGGUGAGUAACACGUGGGUAACCUGCCCAUAAGACUGGGAUAACUCCGGGAAACCGGGGCUAAUACCGGAUAACAUUUUGAACCGCAUGGUUCGAAAUUGAAAGGCGGCUUCGGCUGUCACUUAUGGAUGGACCCGCGUCGCAUUAGCUAGUUGGUGAGGUAACGGCUCACCAAGGCAACGAUGCGUAGCCGACCUGAGAGGGUGAGGGGCAACACGGGGACUGAGACACGGCCCAGACUCCUACGGGAGGAAGCAGUAGGGAAUAUUCCGCACUGGACGAAAGUCUGACGGAGCAACGCCGCGUGAGUGAUGAAGGCUUUCGGGUCGUAAAACUCUGUUGUUAGGGAAGAACAAGUGCUAGUUGAAUAAGCUGGCACCUUGACGGUACCUAACCAGAAAGCCACGGCUAACUACGUGCCAGCCGCCGCAGUAA